AGCGAACGCUGGCGGCAGGCCUAACACAUGCAAGUCGAACGAACUCUUCGGAGUCUGUGGCGGACGGGUGUGUCACCCGUGGGAACGUGCCUUUUGGUUCGGAAUAACUCAGGGAAACUUGUGCUAAUACCGAAUGUGCCCUUCGGGGGAAAGAUUUUUCGCCAUUGGGGCGGCCCGCGUCUGAUUUGCUGGUUGGUGAGGUAACGGCUCACCACGGCGCCGAUCAGUAGCUGGUUUGAGAGACUGACCAGCCACACUGAGACGGAGACGCGGCCGAGAAUCCUACGGGAGGGAGGAGUGGGGAAUCGUGCGAAAUGGGGGAAAGGCUGACGGAGCCAGGCCGGGAGAAUGAUGAAGGUCGUAAGGUUGAAAAGUGCUUUCACCGGGGACGGUAAUGACGGUACCCGGAGAAGAAGCCACGGCUAACUUCGUG
rnacentral:rRNA from 1 species